rnacentral:rRNA from 1 species
AUUUCCUACGGGAGGCAGCAGUGAGGAAUAUUGGUCAAUGGGCGCAAGCCUGAACCAGCCAAGUCGCGUGAGGGAAGACGGCCCUACGGGUUGUAAACCUCUUUUGCCGGGGAGCAAGCCUGAGCACGUGUGCCCAGGCGGAGAGUACCCGGAGAAAAAGCAUCGGCUAACUACGUGCCAGCAGCCGCGGUAAUACGUAGGUGGCAAGCGUUGUCCGGAUUUACUGGGUGUAAAGGGCGUGUAGCCGGGCUGACAAGUCAGAUGUGAAAUCCGGGGGCUCAACCCCCGAACUGCAUUUGAAACUG